rnacentral:rRNA from 1 species
CACGUAGGAGGCAAGCGUUAUCCGGAUUUACUGGGCGUAAAGCGCGUGCAGGCGGUGCGGUAAGUUGGAUGUGAAAGCUCCCGGCUCAACUGGGAGAUGCCGUUCAAUACUGCCGGACUAGAGGACGGUAGAGGGAGGUGGAAUUCCAGGUGUAGUGGUGAAAUGCGUAGAUAUCUGGAGGAACACCAGUGGCGAAAGCGGCCUCCUAGGCCGUUCCUGACGCUAAGACGCGAAAGCAUGGGUAGCAAACGGGAUUAGAUACCCUAGUA